rnacentral:ncRNA from 1 species
GAGGUUCCGACCGGAUUAAUAGGGAAGAAAGUGAGAAGCUUUCACGGUCCCCGCCGCUGUGAAGGAAGAGCCGUAUUUUUUGAUGUCACUGGGAAACCGGGAAGACGAAAUGCGGCGACGACGCCUGAGUCAGAAGACCUGCCCUGUACC